AAGUCGUAACAAGGUUUCCGUAGGUGAACCUGCGGAAGGAUCAUUAUCGAGUUUAAUCCAGCUUUUUCUUGCUGUGCAUUCACUUGCACGCUCGAGGAAAUUGGCUCUAAAACUUCACACACCUGUGCACCUUCGGUCUGCACUUUCCCGCUUGGGCAGAAUUUUAAAAUUUUGUCUAAGUCCGCUCCUCGGAGUGGGACUAGAGUCUUGCGGUGAAUUUAUUCAUGGCUCGCUCUGGGGAAAGUCGUCCGUUUUUUUACACCUUUUUUGUAUGUCUUUGAAAAUCUUCGAUUGCUCGUAAUGGGCGUCGUUUAAAAUAAAUACAACUUUCAGCAACGGAUCUCUUGGCUCUC
rnacentral:misc_RNA from 1 species